rnacentral:rRNA from 1 species
UGGGGAAUAUUGCACAAUGGGGGAAACCCUGUUGCAGCGACGCCGCGUGAACGAAGAAGGUAUUCGUAUCGUAAAGUUCUGUCCUAUGGGAAGAUAAUGACAGUACCAUAGAAGAAAGCUCCGGCUAAAUACGUGCCAGCAGCCGCGGUAAUACGUAUGGAGCGAGCGUUGUCCGGAAUUAUUGGGCGUAAAGGGUACGCAGGCGGUUUAAUAAGUCGAAUGUUAAAGAUCGGGGCUCAACCCCGUAAAGCAUUGGAAACUGAUAAACUUGAGUAGUGGAGAGGAAAGUGGAAUUCCUAGUGUAGUGGUGAAAUACGUAGAUAUUAGGAGGAAUACCAGUAGCGAAGGCGACUUUCUGGACACAAACUGACGCUGAGGUACGAAAGCGUGGGGAGCAAACAGG